UUGCCUCAAGUUCAGCUCUGGC
rnacentral:siRNA from 1 species